CAGAUAUAGUUUAGUGGUAGAACGUGAGCUUCCCAAGCUUAUGAUGCGAGUUCGAUUCUCGUUGUCUG
rnacentral:tRNA from 2 species